GACGAACGCUGGCGGCGUGCCUAAUACAUGCAAGUAGAACGCUGAAGGAGGAGCUUGCUUCUCUGGAUGAGUUGCGAACGGGUGAGUAACGCGUAGGUAACCUGCCUGGUAGCGGGGGAUAACUAUUGGAAACGAUAGCUAAUACCGCAUAAUAGCAGUUGUUGCAUGACAACUGUUUGAAAGGUGCAAUUGCACCACUACCAGAUGGACCUGCGUUGUAUUAGCUAGUUGGUGGGGUAACGGCUCACCAAGGCGACGAUACAUAGCCGACCUGAGAGGGUGAUCGGCCACACUGGGACUGAGACACGGCCCAGACUCCUACGGGAGGCAGCAGUAGGGAAUCUUCGGCAAUGGACGGAAGUCUGACCGAGCAACGCCGCGUGAGUGAAGAAGGGUUUCGGAUCGUAAAGCUCUGUUGUAAGAGAAGAACGAGUGUGAGAGUGGAAAGUUCACACUGUGACGGUAUCUGACCAGAAAGGGACGGCUAACUACGUG
rnacentral:rRNA from 1 species